CAAUAGCGUAUAUUAAAGUUGUUGCAGUUAAAAAGCUCGUAGUUGGAUUUCUGGUAGGAGUGACCGUUCCGAACUUGAUUGUUCGUGUAUUGUGUUUUCUCCAGCCAUCCUUGUGGAGAACUUUUCUUGCAUUAAUUUGUAGGGAUUGGGACCCGCAUCGUUUACUGUGAAAAAAUUAGAGUGUUUAAAGCGGGCAAUCGCUUGAAUACAUUAGCAUGGAAUAAUAAGAUAGGACUUUGGUACUAUUUUGUUGGUUUGCAUACCAAAUUAAUGAUCAACAGGAACAGUUUGAGGAUAUUCGUAUGAACAUGUCAGAGGUGAAAUUCUUGGAUUUUGAUCAGACGAACUACUGCGAAAGCAUUUAUCAAGGAUGUUUUCAUUAA
rnacentral:rRNA from 1 species